rnacentral:lncRNA from 1 species
AAGAAUAUGUCAAAUUUCAAGUUGUCAAGUAGUUAAGUAGUGUAAAAUUCAUAUUUAAAGGAGAAGGGAAAAAUUGGUUAAGAAUGCUUUUAAGAAAUCCAGGUAGGGUACUGAUAUAUAAUUGAUUGUGAGUGAGCAUGUUAAAAUAAGAGUGGAAGUUUGAAUGAUCAACUAUUGUCACUGUGAAGUUGAAUUGUUAAGAAUUAGAAGCUAACAUGAUGAGCUAAUGGCACGGUCUUAUUCUGUUUGGUUCUGCAUUUUGCUGAUCUUGUACAAGCUACUAAGAAUUUAAAGUUGGGACCUAAAGUUGGCCCAUCAAAGAUAGGUUUCUCCCUGGACUCAUUCCACAUUCUGAGUUUUGGACUUCUAUUCCCUUAAAGGGUUGGGCUCAUCUCGAGCCCAAGACAAAAUUAGAACGACAUUGCAUCCUGUUGUCUCUUGAAUUAACACAAACGUUGGACCUGAGAAGUGGAAGGGGUAAAAUCCCAAUUCUUCCUAAUGUCAAUUAGAUUUUGGUAGUAAAUGAGGGGAGCUGGGGUGGACAAACGUUAAAUUUAUG